rnacentral:rRNA from 1 species
AGGAUUAGAUACCCUGGUAGUCCACGCCCUAAACGAUGUCAACUAGUUGUUGGGUCUUCAUUGACUUAGUAACGUAGCUAACGCGUGAAGUUGACCGCCUGGGGAGUACGGUCGCAAGAUUAAAACUCAAAGGAAUUGACGGGGACCCGCACAAGCGGUGGAUGAUGUGGAUUAAUUCGAUGCAACGCGAAAAACCUUACCUACCCUUGACAUGGUCGGAACCCUGCUGAAAGGUGGGGGUGCUCGAAAGAGAACCGAUACACAGGUGCUGCAUGGCUGUCGUCAGCUCGUGUCGUGAGACGUUGGGUUAAGUCCCGCAACGAGCGCAACCCUUGUCCUUAGUUGCUACGCAAGAGCACUCUAAGGAGACUGCCGGUGACAAACCGGAGGAAGGUGGGGAUGACGUCAAGUCCUCAUGGCCCUUAUGGGUAGGGCUUCACACGUCAUACAAUGGUCGGAACAGAGGGCUGCCAACCCGUGAGGGGGAGCUAAUCCCAGAAAACCGAUCGUAGUCCGGAUCGUAGUCUGCAACUCGACUACGUGAAGCUGGAAUCGCUAGUAAUCGCGGAUCAGCAUGCCGCGGUGAAUACGUUCCCGGGUCUUGUACACACCGCCCGUCACACCAUGGGAGUGGGUUUU